rnacentral:rRNA from 1 species
GGUGAAAAGAACCCCGGGAGGGGAGUGAAAAAGAACAUGAAACCGUGAGCUUACAAGCAGUGGGAGUCCGAUUAAACGGAUGACCGCGUGCCUGUUGAAGAAUGAGCCGGCGACUUAUAGGUACUGGUAGGUUAAAGCGGGAAUGCUGGAGCCAAAGGGAAACCGAGUCUGAAAAGGGCGAUAAUCAGUAUUUAUAGACCCGAACCCUGGUGAUCUAACCAUGGCCAGGAUGAAGCUUGGGUAAAACCAAGUGGAGGUCCGAACCGACCGAUGUUGAAAAAUCGGCGGAUGAGCGGUGGUUAGGGGUGAAAUGCCAAUCGAACCAGGAGCUAGCUGGUUCUCCCCGAAAUGUGUUGAGGCG